rnacentral:lncRNA from 1 species
UGAUUUUUUUUUUUUUUUUUUUUUUUUUUUUUUUUUUUUUUUUUUUUUUUUUUUUUUUUUUUUUUUUGAAAUUGAGAUUAAAUCUCACAGAUAUAAACCGGCAAUUCACCGAGAUAAUUCUUUCAUUCAAGAAAGCUUAUUAUCUAACCGUCGGACAUGCAAGAUGACCGGGGAAAUUUAGACAAUAAGACUUUAAUGUCCGAAAAGAAAAUCCGUCUUCUUCCAAGAGUCCUGAAAAUAAAACAGAGGAAACAAGAAGAAUAUAAGUCGAUAUAUAUAACAGAUUAUAUAUAUUAUAAAAAUAAAAAUAAAAAAUAUAUCCAAUAAAUAAUUAUUAACAAAAUCGCGUGUAUAUGCAUGUGGUGAUAAAAAAUUACACAAUUAUGAUAAAUCAUAAUUGAGACAAUUAAACUCUUAAUUAAGGCACAAUCAAUAAAAUAUUAAUGCCCUUAAUUAAGACACAAAUAACGCCCUGAAAUAAGGCACAAUUAACAUCCUCAAUUAGAGGCACAAUUUACGCCCAAUAAGGCACAAUUUACGCCCUCAUAAUUAUGAGGCACAAUUAACGUCAUCAAUUAACGCCUUCCUUUCUGAAUUCGGAUCCCGUACUGAUCGGAAUGUUGUCGCCACAACCCUCAGCCACCACCGCUAUCACCGCUAAGCUAUCUCUCCCGCACACCACCGUAAAGAAGACAAUG